rnacentral:rRNA from 1 species
AUUGAACGCUGGCGGCAGGCCUAACACAUGCAAGUCGAGCGCGCGGCGGACGGGUGAGUAAUGUCUGGGAAACUGCCUGAUGGAGGGGGAUAACUACUGGAAACGGUAGCUAAUACCGCAUACCAUCAGAUGUGCCCAGAUGGGAUUAGCUAGUAGGUGGGGUAACGGCUCACCUAGGCGACGAUCCCUAGCUGGUCUGCGAGGAUGACCAGCAGCACUGGAACAGAGACAAGGUCCAGACUCCAGCGGGAGGCGGCAGUGGGGAAUAUGGCACAAUGGGCGAAAGCCUGAUGCAGCCAUGCCGCGUGGGUGAAGAAGGCCUUCGGGUUGUAAAGCACUUUCAGCGGGGAGGCGUUACCCGAAGAAGAAGCACCGGCUAACUCCGUGCCAGCAGCCGCGGUAAUUC